UUAAACACACAUUAAACCACUCUUUUUUUUAGUUCAACCAAACCAUAAUCAUGAGACUAAAACAAAGAGAGAACCUAAUCUUGAUCAGAUCUAACUUCAGUCUUCCUCCUCUCAUCACCAAACGGAACUGGAAAAGAACUAUGGUCACCUCUUACUCAUUCAAUGUGGUGCUUACGUGUUGCUGAGGAAGGGAGCCACGAAGCUUUUUCCACUAACUCACCUCUUCUCCAUUGUAUAUAAGCCAAGCUUCUCAUUCUUCUACAUGCAACAAAAAAUGCACAAACAAAAGGAGAAGAGAGGGACAGAGACGUUGCCGAGAGAGGAAGAGGGAGCAAGAAUAGAGGCUGACCGAAAUAGGAGACUUUCAUCCAAUCAAUUUUAUUUGAGUUCUUCUUGCUGGUUAAGAACCAGCGUCCUCCUUUUCUCACCUCUUCUUAAAAUUAAAAAAUUUAACUCUCACUGUGCUCCAUUUUUAGUUAGCUUGAUCGGUUCUUUCAAGAACAGCUACUUAAGGAGAGGUUUCUAAUUCAAGGAAGAAGCAGAAAUAGAAUUUUGAACUCCACAAGAGGUAAGGAAAGCUAGUAUAAUUAUAUGUUUGUAUUUAUGUGAAUAAUAUUUAUUGAAGAUGUAAUGAGUAGUUGCUACUAGCUAUGAUGUUGGAUUAUGUAUGAUAAUGAUGAAGAUAAUUGAUGUGCUAGCAUGCAUUAUUUUAUCAUAAUGGUAUGCUCUUGUAUGAAUAUAUGAUGUAUGAAUGGUCAAAUUGACAAGAGCUAAGCUUUUGGGGCUGUGCUAAUCUUUCUAGAAACUUUGAUUAGUUAAAAGAAAGAAAUAAUUAUGGUUUUAGAGAAAUUUUAGGCUUAUAUAUAAAAUUUGGUAUGUGAGGUUGUUAAAUUACUUGAUGCAUAAUUGCUGCAUAUUUGGCAGCAAUUCAAAAUAAAUUCAGGGAGCAGUCCAGACCACCCUUUUUGAUGAAAUUAUUUUUUUGGGAAACCUUGGUGUAUCUUGAAUGUACCAUAAAAUUUUCAGGAAUUUGGCCAAGUAGUUUGGGAGAUAUGAAUUUUUGAAAUUUGGUUGUUGCUGUUGAAUUUUCUGAAUUUCUAGUUCUGCAAUGUCAUUUUCCAACCACUAGAACUUUUGAUUUACUUAACAUCUUGAGUUACUACUAAAGGAAUUUUGAAGGUCUAUAAGUAUAUUUUAAUUGAGUAUAAAUUUCAUGUUCAUAGCUAUUUUGUAGACUUAAUUAAAUCAC